rnacentral:rRNA from 1 species
GACGUAGGGCGCGAGCGUUGUCCGGAUUUAUUGGGCGUAAAGAGCUCGUAGGCGGCUUGUCGCGUCGACUGUGAAAACCUGCAGCUUAACUGUGGGCUUGCGGUCGAUACGGGCAUCACUGGAGUUCGGCAGGGGAGACUGGAAUUCCUGGUGUAGCGGUGAAAUGCGCAGAUAUCAGGAGGAACACCGGUGGCGAAGGCGGAUCUCUGGGCCAUUACUGACGCUGAGGAGCGAAAGCAUGGGGAGCGAACAGG